rnacentral:rRNA from 1 species
CCUACGGGAGGCAGCAGUAGGGAAUAUUGCUCAAUGGGCGAAACCCUGAAGCAGCAACGCCGCGUGGGGGAUGAAGGUUUUCGGAUUGUAAACUCCUUUUGUUAGGGAAGAUAAUGACGGUAUCUAACGAAUAAGCACCGGCUAACGCCGUGCCAGCAGCCGCGGUAAUACGGAGGGUGCCAGCGUUACUCGGAAUCACUGGGCGUAAAGAGCGCGUAGGCGGGAUAGCAAGUCAGAUGUGAAAUCCUAUGGCUUAACCAUCGAACUGCAUUUGAAACUGGUAUUCUAGAGUAUGGGAGAGGUAGGUGGAAUUCUUGGUGUAGGGGUAAAAUGCGUAGAGAUCAAGAGGAAUACUCAUUGCGAAGGCGACCUGCUAGAACAUAACUGACGCUGAUGCGCGAAAGCGUGGGGAGCAAACAGGAUUAGAUACCCUAGUAGUC